rnacentral:rRNA from 1 species
UGGGGAAUUUUCCGCAAUGGGCGAAAGCCUGACGGAGCAAGACCGCGUGAGGGAGGAAGGCUCUUGGGUCGUAAACCUCUUUUGUCAGGGAAGAACACAAUGACGGUACCUGACGAAUCAGCCUCGGCUAACUCCGUGCCAGCAGCCGCGGUAAUACGGAGGAGGCAAGCGUUAUCCGGAAUUAUUGGGCGUAAAGCGUCCGCAGGUGGCACCUCAAGUCUGCUGUCAAAGACCGGGGCUUAACCCCAGAAAGGCAGUGGAAACUGAAGUGCUAGAGUGCAGUAGGGGUAGAGGGAAUUCCCGGUGUAGCGGUGAAAUGCGUAGAGAUCGGGAAGAACAUCGGUGGCGAAAGCGCUCUGCUGGACUGCAACUGACACUCAGGGACGAAAGCU